rnacentral:rRNA from 1 species
GGGAGCUUGCUCCCGGAUGUUAGCGGCGGACGGGUGAGUAACACGUGGGUAACCUGCCUGUAAGACUGGGAUAACUCCGGGAAACCGGAGCUAAUACCGGAUAGUUCCUUGAACCGCAUGGUUCAAGGAUGAAAGACGGUUUCGGCUGUCACUUACAGAUGGACCCGCGGCGCAUUAGCUAGUUGGUGGGGUAAUGGCUCACCAAGGCGACGAUGCGUAGCCGACCUGAGAGGGUGAUCGGCCACACUGGGACUGAGACACGGCCCAGACUCCUACGGGAGGCAGCAGUAGGGAAUCUUCCGCAAUGGACGAAAGUCUGACGGAGCAACGCCGCGUGAGUGAUGAAGGUUUUCGGAUCGUAAAGCUCUGUUGUUAGGGAAGAACAAGUGCGAGAGUAACUGCUCGCACCUUGACGGUACCUAACCAGAAAGCCACGGCUAACUACGUGCCAGCAGCCGCGGUAAUACGUAGGUGGCAAGCGUUGUCCGGAAUUAUUGGGCGUAAAGGGCUCGCAGGCGGUUUCUUAAGUCUGAUGUGAAAGCCCCCGGCUCAACCGGGGAGGGUCAUUGGAAACUGGGAAACUUGAGUGCAGAAGAGGAGAGUGGAAUUCCACGUGUAGCGGUGAAAUGCGUAGAGAUGUGGAGGAACACCAGUGGCGAAGGCGACUCUCUGGUCUGUAACUGACGCUGAGGAGCGAAAGCGUGGGGAGCGAACAGGAUUAGAUACCCUGGUAGUCCACGCCGUAAACGAUGAGUGCUAAGUGUUAGGGGGUUUCCGCCCCUUAGUGCUGCAGCUAACGCAUUAAGCACUCCGCCUGGGGAGUACGGUCGCAAGACUGAAACUCAAAGGAAUUGACGGGGGCCCGCACAAGCGGUGGAGCAUGUGGUUUAAUUCGAAGCAACGCGAAGAACCUUACCAGGUCUUGACAUCCUCUGACAACCCUAGAGAUAGGGCUUUCCCUUCGGGGACAGAGUGACAGGUGGUGCAUGGUUGUCGUCAGCUCGUGUCGUGAGAUGUUGGGUUAAGUCCCGCAACGAGCGCAACCCUUGAUCUUAGUUGCCAGCAUUUAGUUGGGCACUCUAAGGUGACUGCCGGUGACAAACCGGAGGAAGGUGGGGAUGACGUCAAAUCAUCAUGCCCCUUAUGACCUGGGCUACACACGUGCUACAAUGGACAGAACAAAGGGCUGCGAGACCGCAAGGUUUAGCCAAUCCCAUAAAUCUGUUCUCAGUUCGGAUCGCAGUCUGCAACUCGACUGCGUGAAGCUGGAAUCGCUAGUAAUCGCGGAUCAGC